AUGGCGUGGAAGAACAAAAUAACAGAAAGAGGGACAUGGGAUGAAAAGAUUGGCAAUUCUGAAGAACAAUGUAGCCUGGAGAAAGCGAAUGUUAAAAGUACGAGACGAAGCACAGGUCAAGCUGACCCCGGUAAGCUUUUCCCACCUGAAGCCAUGACUUUUGAGCUUGGGCACUGGUCGCCCUAUAGUCAAGUCAAGAACGGAGAUUGCCCAAUUAUUUUUCUUAUUAGUCCUAUUGCUAGUCCUAUGUCGAGACAACGGAUUCAGGUUAGAAGAGAAGGAAAAUGCCGACAUAUGACUAUGACAACUGGGCUAGUAAUUGACACAUUCAGAGGCAAUUUCGGAUGUGUGGAAUUCAAGAGGACUGUAGCUGCCGUUCCAUGGAGGUUCAUAGUGGUUUCGGGAGCUACUUUUUGCAUAUGUUGUCGCUCGAAAGAAGUGAGAAGAUGGCUGCCUCCCGCUCUGGCGAUUCAGGCGCGCCCGCCGCCCCGCCGCCGGUGGACGGGGCGCCCCGCGCCAAGCGGAAGGCGGACGAGCUCCAACGCGGCAGCUCCCGCCCCUCUCCGGACGCCCUCCGGCGCGAGGAGGAGCUCCGCGAGCUCCGGGACAGCCCCGUUCGCCCGAGCGCAGGGAAGGCCGGGGCCGGUCUCGGUCGUCUCGGCCGGCCGCCUCGGGGGACUAGCGGUCUCGCCGGAGGUCCCCUUCGCCGCCUCCUCGCCGUGGGCGCUCGCCCUCCCCCUCCCGGUCGUCGCGCCCCAUUUCCCCCCGCGCCCGGGACGGGAUCCUCCCGACUCCGGCGCCCCGUCGUUACGUGCCUCCUCACGCCACCGCCCCCAUGGCUUCGGUGUCGGCUCCUACCCCUGGUGGUGGCGCCGCUCGCGGUCGUGCGGGCCCGGCCAAGAAGAAGAAGCGGCGGGGUGCUCGCGGCGCGCCGCCCGUGCCCCCCUUCGUGUUUCCAGGAUCUUCCGCCACGCCCGGCCCCGUCUCUGGUCUUCCUCGCCCUCCCUGCUUCAACUGUGGGGUGGGGGACACUCGCAAGUCAACUGUGUCAAUCCCCAGUGCUGCUACCUCAGCAAGGACCCGUGCCACCCCGCUCUCCUGUGCCCGGAUAGACUGGUGGUGUCGGAGCUCAUGAUGUACGGGCACGGGAUCGAGGGGUUGGGGUUCUUCCACCUCGAGGUCCCCGACGCCCCUCCGCCAUCUCCCACCCUUCAGGCGGUCAUCACGGUCGUCGAUGGGGUGGCAUCCUCGGAGAUGAUCGAGGCCGAGCUCAAUCACCUCUACCGUCGCCAGUGGGACUGGGUGGUCACCCCCUCCGCCGGCCACAUCUUCGCCGUCGUCUUCCCCGACUCCGUCAGCUACGGCUACGCGACACGCAGUGGCCGGAUCACUCUCGCUCUCAACCAGCUGGUUGUCGAGAUCUUCGAGCCGAUCCUCGACGCCCAGGCCGUGGCCGUCCUCGACAUUGCUUGGAUCCUUAUCUCCCGCCUCCCCGACAUUGCGCGGUCCGAGCUCGUCAUCCGCCAGAUGUCCCGUCUCUUAGGCAAGGUGGUGGUGGUCGAUGAGCUCUCUCUAUGCAAGGAGGAGGAGGUCUGGGUCAAGGUCAAGUGCCUCGACUCCUUCAAGCUUCACACUUUCGUCCGUGUUUUCUUCAACGACCAGGGCUUCAACCUCAGGAUCGCCCGAGCCCCCCAACCACGAUGGGGCCUCGGAGGACUCCCGCUCCCCGUCCCCUUCGCCCCUCCUCCUGCCGCGGGGGGCAAGGGCCGCCAGGCCGCGCCUAGUCUGCUCCUUGGCGGGCCCUCGGACUUGGCGGCAUCGCCCUCCGAGGAGAGCGACAUCUCCAGUGUUGGCCUGGUCGUUUGCCCGACUUCUUCACCGCGCUCUCCCCCCUCGCUUACCCCCGUCGCGCGGGACUCGGCGGAUCUGUCCCAUGGACUGCUCCUGGCUGCUUCGGUGGCGCCCUCAGUGGGGCUCUGCCCCUCCUCGACUACUCCGGGCCCACUCCUCUGGCCUCUCCAGCGGCGACCCUGCCCAUGGAGGGGGAGGCUAGGGUAUCCACUCCCAUGGCUGCCCAGCCCCCCCCCCUCGGUCUGCCGCCUACUCUCAGCACGGUCGGUCGACCUCCUCCCCGGUGAUUGCAUCCCGUCGGAGUGCUCGGCUGGAUGCUGCUCAUCCCGUGGGCAGUCCGACUCUGCCCAUCCCCGAGCGGGCGGAGCUCCGCGCUGCUGCUCGUAA
rnacentral:rRNA from 1 species